CUGGAUAAGAUCACCAUUCACUGUAACGACCGCAAGUCAUCCGUCAUCUCUACUGUGUUUCUUCACUGUACUCUACUGUGUUUCUUUACUGUACUCUACUGUGUUUCUUUACUGUACUCUACUGUGUUUCUUUACUGUACACUACUGUGUUUCUUUACUGUACUCUACUGUGUUUCUUUACUAUACUCUGUGUUUCUUUACUGUACUCUACUGUGUUUCUUUACUAUACUCUACUGUGUUUCUUUACUGUACUCUACUGUGUUUCUUUACUGUACUCUACUGUGUUUCUUUACUAUACUCUACUGUGUUUCUUUACUGUACUCUACUGUGUUUCUUUACUGUACUCUACUGUGUUUCUUUACUGUACUCUACUGUGUUUCUUUACUGUACUCUACUGUGUUUCUUUACUAUACUCUACUGUGUUUCUUUACUAUACUCUACUGUGUUUCUUUACUGUACUCUACUGUGUUUCUUUACUGUACUCUACUGUGUUUCUUUACUCUACUCUACUGUGUUUCUUUACUGUACUCUACUGUGUUUCUUUACUCUACUCUACUGUGUUUCUUUACUGUACUCUACUGUGUUUCUUUACUAUACUCUACUGUGUUUCUUUACUGUACUCUACUGUGUUUCUUUACUAUACUCUACUGUGUUUCUUUACUGUACUCUACUGUGUUUCUUUACUGUACUCUACUGUGUUUCUUUACUAUACUCUACUGUGUUUCUUUACUGUACUCUACUGUGUUUCUUUACUGUACUCUACUGUGUUUCUUUACUGUACUCUACUGUGUUUCUUUACUGUACUCUACUGUGUUUCUUUGCUAUACUCUACUGUGUUUCUUUACUGUACUCUACUGUGUUUCUUUACUCUACUCUACUGUGUUUCUUUACUAUACUCUACUGUGUUUCUUUACUAUACUCUACUGUGUUUUUUUUACUAUACUCUACUGUGUUUCUUUACUAUACUCUACUGUGUUUUUUUUACUAUACUCUACUGUGUUUCUUUACUAUACUCUACUGUGUUUUUUACUAUACUCUACUGUGUUUCUUUGCUAUACUCUACUGUGUUUCUUUACUGUACUCUACUGUGUUUCUUUACUCUACUCUACUGUGUUUCUUUACUCUACUGUACUGUGUUUCUUUACUGUACUCUACUGUGUUUCUUUACUGUACUCUACUGUGUUUCUUUGCUGUACUCUACUGUGUUUCUUUACUGUACUCUACUGUGUUUCUUUACUAUACUCUACUGUGUUUCUUUACUGUACUCUGUGUUUCUUUACUAUACUCUACUGUGUUUCUUUACUGUACUCUACUGUGUUUCUUUACUGUACUCUACUGUGUUUCUUUACUGUACUCUACUGUGUUUCUUUACUAUACUCUACUGUGUUUCUUUACUGUACUCUACUGUGUUUCUUUACUGUACUCUACUGUGUUUCUUUACUGUACUCUACUGUGUUUCUUUACUGUACUCUACUGUGUUUCUUUACUAUACUCUACUGUGUUUCUUUACUGUACUCUACUGUGUUUCUUUACUGUACUCUACUGUGUUUCUUUACUCUACUCUACUGUGUUUCUUUACUGUACUCUACUGUGUUUCUUUACUCUACUCUACUGUGUUUCUUUACUGUACUCUACUGUGUUUCUUUACUAUACUCUACUGUGUUUCUUUACUGUACUCUACUGUGUUUCUUUACUAUACUCUACUGUGUUUCUUUACUGUACUCUACUGUGUUUCUUUACUGUACUCUACUGUGUUUCUUUACUAUACUCUACUGUGUUUCUUUACUGUACUCUACUGUGUUUCUUUACUGUACUCUACUGUGUUUCUUUACUGUACUCUACUGUGUUUCUUUACUGUACUCUACUGUGUUUCUUUGCUAUACUCUACUGUGUUUCUUUACUGUACUCUACUGUGUUUCUUUACUCUACUCUACUGUGUUCUUUACUCUACUGUACUGUGUUUCUUUACUGUACUCUACUGUGUUUCUUUACUGUACUCUACUGUGUUUCUUUGCUGUACUCUACUGUGUUUCUUUACUGUACUCUACUGUGUUUCUUUACUAUACUCUACUGUGUUUCUUUACUGUACUCUGUGUUUCUUUACUAUACUCUACUGUGUUUCUUUACUGUACUCUACUGUGUUUCUUUACUGUACUCUACUGUGUUUCUUUACUGUACUCUGUGUUUCUUUACUGUACUCUGUGUUUCUUUACUGUACUCUGUGUUUCUUUACUAUACUCUACUGUGUUUCUUUACUGUACUCUACUGUGUUUCUUUACUGUACUCUGUGUUUCUUUACUGUACUCUGUGUUUCUUUACUAUACUCUACUGUGUUUCUUUACUGUACUCUACUGUGUUUCUUUACUGUACUCUACUGUGUUUCUUUACUGUACUCUGUGUUUCUUUACUGUACUCUGUGUUUCUUUACUGUACUCUACUGUGUUUCUUUACUGUACUCUACUGUGUUUCUUUACUGUACUCUGUGUUUCUUUACUAUACUCUACUGUGUUUCUUUAUUAUACUCUACUGUGUUUCUUUACUGUACUCUGUGUUUCUUUACUAUACUCUACUGUGUUUCUUUACUAUACUCUACUGUGUUUUUUUUACUAUACUCUACUGUCUUUCUUUACUAUACUCUACUGUGUUUUUUACUAUACUCUACUGUGUUUCUUUGCUAUACUCUACUGUGUUUCUUUACUGUACUCUACUGUGUUUCUUUACUCUACUCUACUGUGUUUCUUUACUAUACUCUACUGUGUUUCUUUACUAUACUCUACUGUGUUUUUUUUACUAUACUCUACUGUGUUUCUUUACUGUACUCUACUGUGUUUCUUUACUGUACUCUACUGUGUUUCUUUACUAUACUCUACUGUGUUUUUUUUACUAUACUCUACUGUGUUUUUUUACUAUACUCUACUGUGUUUCUUUGCUAUACUCUACUGUGUUUCUUUGCUAUACUCUACUGUGUUUCUUUACUAUACUCUACUGUGUUUUUUUACUAUACUCUACUGUGUUUCUUUACUAUACUCUACUGUUUUUUUUACUAUACUCUACUGUGUUUCUUUGCUAUACUCUACUGUGUUUCUUUGCUAUACUCUACUGUGUUUCUUUACUAUACUCUACUGUGUUUUUUUUACUAUACUCUACUGUGUUUCUUUGCUGUACUCUACUGUGUUUCUUUACUGUACUCUACUGUGUUUCUUUGCUGUACUCUACUGUGUUUCUUUACUGUACUCUACUGUGUUUCUUUACUGUACUCUACUGUGUUUCUUUGCUGUACUCUACUGUGUUUCUUUACUGUACUCUACUGUGUUUCUUUACUGUACUCUGUGUUUCUUUACUAUACUCUACUGUGUUUCUUUACUGUACUCUACUGUGUUUCUUUACUGUACUCUACUGUGUUUCUUUACUGUACUCUGUGUUUCUUUACUAUACUCUACUGUGUUUCUUUAUUAUACUCUACUGUGUUUCUUUAUUAUACUCUACUGUGUUUCUUUACUGUACUCUGUGUUUCUUUACUAUACUCUACUGUGUUUCUUUAUUAUACUCUACUGUGUUUCUUUACUGUACUCUACUGUGUUUCUUUACUAUACUCUACUGUGUUUCUUUACUGUGUUCUGUGUUUCUUUACUGUACUCUACGGUGUUUCUUUACUAUACUCUACGGUGUUUCUUUACAGUAUUUCUUUACAGUAAAAUAAAAAAUAACGCGUUAAAAAUAUUUACGCAUAUUAUCGCGCUCCUAGAUGCCCCUGACUUUUGGUCCAACAGCACGGAGCACUGA
ensembl:lncRNA